GUUGAUUUAUAAACCUUAGAGAAUACCAGAGAGUAUGAGAAGGUCAUAGAAACACUCCCUUUGCUUCACUGUAGGGGGCACAGCUGGGGGCCCAGUCCUGGAAGGUUGGAGGACAGGACAGGGUCCACCAGUGUGAGACAUGAGAGGAUGCCCACAGAUGUCCAGAGUCCUGUGCAUGAUGGGUUGUCUGAGUGUGGUCUUCCGCCAGGCUGUUGCAGAGGAGGAUGUGGUUUGGAGUAGACUGGCAGCCAGAAACAAGCAUGGCUUUGAGAGCAGUGCUUUUCCCAACUGCAAGAAGGCAUAAUUCCGUGAACCAGCCUUGCAAAAAUCCACCAACUUCCAGAAAAGUUUCAACAACCCAUGAAGGUUCCCAUGUGUGUGAAAACCCGAUGACCCUUUUAGGGAAGGGCCCCCAGACAAAGCCUGAAACCUGAGCUGGGGCCCAGUUGCCUCUUCUCCAGGACAAGUCCCCAGCCAGACUGGACAGCUCGGCCCCAGAGCAAGGCCAACCUGCACAGUCUACCGGUCCUCAGCCUCCUGGAGAAACUCAGCUCAAAAUGUCCCUGAUACUCAGUGCAGUGGCCAUCAGCACAUCCUCAAAAAGUCACAUCCCCUGGAAAAUCUGACUAAACAGUAAGAAAAAUAGCGACAGUCAGCUAACUUCAUAGAGACUCACUGAGAGCCGAGCCCAAAGCAGAUGAACUGGAAGAAGAGACGUUUAAAGUCCCUCACCAUCAUCGUCUUCCUCUCUCUAAGCUGAGUCAGGUUCCUUUUAACCUACGCAGCAGCCACCGUAGACUGGAUGGCAGGAGGCAGAUGCCUGGGCCCUCCGCUCCUCAAGUCAGGAGCUCUCAGUGUCCGUCAACUCAUCUGGAAAAUGGGGAUAACAUCAGGAUGAGCUAAUCAAGGCAAAAGCCAGAAAGCCCGCUGCCUCACCAUUUCUGUUUCCAAUAGGAUUUUUAUGGCCUCCAAGAUGGUGUCUCCUUGUAAUCUUUCUCGGCAACAGGCUCAUUUUUCUCCUCAAAUUCCUCUGCGUUUGGCUCAGGACAAUCUGUUUUUCCUACAUUUGUCAAGUUGCUCGAAAUUCCUAAUGCUCAUUCAUGUUCUUUCCAAGGAUUAGCAGAGCACCCCUUGCUCAUCUUUCAUCACACUCCCUCCGCACGCAGGGUAGAAAUUAUAUGUGAGUAGAGGCCUGGCUAUCGAUGCCCAUAAAAUGGAGAUUUUGGCGAGACUUGCUUGCAUGGGUCAGAGCGGGAAUGAGGCCGAAAAUCGGGCUUGAACAUCUUUAAUGAUGUGCAGAAAGAGAGGGGCCUCGGCCCGCGCAGGCAGAUGUGCACAGCUGUUGGUGGAGAAGCCCCUAAUACCGCGACCAGCAUGGAGUAACGGAUACCCUCAAAUGCUUCCUAGUGGAGUUAAGAAUUUUUUGUUGAUCGU
ensembl:lncRNA